rnacentral:miRNA from 1 species
CGUGGAGGACGAGGAGGAGGC